GACGAACGCUGGCGGCGUGCUUAACACAUGCAAGUCGAACGAAGUGGCGAACGGGUGAGUAAUACGUGGGUAACCUGCCCUCCUUUUUGGGAUAAGCCUUGGAAACGUGGUCUAAUACCGAAUAAAGGGGGAUGGGCUCGCGGCCUAUCAGCUUGUUGGUGGGGUGAUGGCCUACCAAGGCGGUGACGGGUAGCCGGCCUGAAGGGGUGACUGGCGACAGUGAGAUUGAGAUACGGCCCAGAGUCCUACGGGAGGCAGCAGUGGGGGAUGUGGCACAAUGGGCGAAAGCCGGAUGCAGCGACGCCGCGUGGGGGAUGAAGGCUUGCGGUUUGUAAACCUCUGUCGCUAUCGAACGGGUAGGUGAAGAAGAAGCGCCGGCUAACUACGUGCCAGCAGCCGCGGUAAUUC
rnacentral:rRNA from 1 species